AUUUGAUUAAAGAACUAAUUCCCUCCGCCUACUCUAAAUUCCCAAAUUCAACUCAAUCUCACUCCAGACCCUAAAAAAAAAACCCAAUCCAACUCAAAUCUCUCUCCUCGAUCUAUGACCUCUUACCCCCGACGGCGGUCUUCCUCCUUCAUCUCCGACCUUCGGCCGUUAGCAACAACGAUAAUGCUCUCCAUUCUCUGGUCGGCAAGACUCUUGUCACCCGUACUCAGGGUACCAAGGUAUUUCAUUCUCUCUCUGAUUGUUUUCGAUUAUUAACGUGUUGUGUUUGUGAUUAUUCAAAGGAGAGAACUCUGAGCCCUAAUCUCGCCGGAGAGGAUCGAAAUUAUGGACGGAAAAAUGGAAAUCUUACCGGACAAGCUUGACGACGUCAUCGAAGAGAACGGCCUCGAGCGAUUCCCACCGGAAGUCGGGUACGAGAAGAAGCGGGAGUCGCUGAUACGCCGCCCAGUGGAAGUUCUAGAGCAUGCUCGACAAUCUCCAGCUCGCUCACCUCGAAUUCUCCGUCAUCGUCGACCUCAUCAACACUGUAACUCUCUCUGAAUUACUUCCGUUCUUUACUUUUUCUCAGUUCAGUUUUUACUGUUUGUUAGGAUUUGAGCUACGAAUUUCAUAGGGACUCUAGCACAAAGUUUUUGAGAUAUCCCUUGCUGACCUCCAGGGAGAUGUCCAAGGAAGGACUAUUCUCACAAACUUCUGGGUAACCUCGUCAUUCACAAUCCUCCAUGCUCUCUUUCUCAUUCUAAAAAAAGUUUGCAUUUCGUUGGUUUCUCUUAUGAGUUAGUUAGUUGUGCGUACCAACUGUUUGAUGAAAGUCCUGAGAGAAAUGCUAACAUGAUUAUAAUUUUGCAUUUGUGCUAGAGAAAGAUCUAUGUUGAUUUGGAGUUUCACUUUGUAAUGGUUACUGAUAUGUGGGAACUGCAGGUUUAGGCCUAGGUAAUCUGAGGUAAACAUAGGAGACCAUCCAAUAAAGAUGCUAUAGGCCUAGGUAAUUUGAGGAAGUGUUGCUAAUCUCCACCAGUUCCAUAGGCAGCCCCUGCUAAUCUCCACCACUUCCAUUAUAGUCUAGUUUAGGCAUCUUGUAUGCCAUGGAAAACUUUUGAAUGACAGUUUUCAAACGUCAUGGAUGUAUAUAUGUGUACUAGUGGUUUAUGACAAAAGUUAAAUACAAUAAUUUCUUUUCAA